AUUAUUCAGUCUUUCAUUUGGAAGUGCAAGGUAUGCACAUAGUUCACAAUGAAUAUGAAAUUAAUUACUGUCGUAGUUGCUGUAAUGUCACUUGUUGCAAUUAGUUUUGCCGCACCUGCUCCAUCACCAAUAGCAAAUCCAAACGGCGGCUAUGAUUUUGAUUACACACAUACAGGGCCUCUUAUUGCGCACAUGCGAAAUGGGAACGAUGUGAUUAUCAUUUUUACGCCAACUCAAGUGCAAAUGAACAUUCAAAAAUGUAUACAUAAUAGACACUAACAUUAUUAAUCAUGUAAAUAAAUUAUUACUAUCGUCAUAGGUUGUUUUAAAAUUAUUUUGACUAUAAUUAAUGAGAAAUUAAAGGAAAAAAAAAACAAUUUGUUGACAUUAUGACAUAGUAAGCGUAUAAUUUAUUUAUAUUUAACAAGAAAAUGUUUAAUUGAUUACGAUAAAAUGGUGACUACUGUGAUUGUCAACAGUGAAGGACCCAGGGCUUCUCAAACUUUGCGAAUAUGCAUUAUUCCACGACACGUUUUAGAAAAUUGAACUUUUUGUGGUUGUAGGGCUGUAUAGAGCGUUUAUUUUAAGCCUUGUCCUAGAGAAUUACAAAAGAAAAUAAAAUUCAAUAAAGAAAACAAA